rnacentral:RNase_P_RNA from 1 species
CGAGUCGGCCGGGUGAUCGCGGCGCAAGCUGAGGAAAGUCCGGACUCCACAGGGCAGGGUGGUGGGCAACGCCCACCCGGGGUGACCCGCGGGACAGUGCCACAGAGAACAGACCGCCCGGAAACCGUCCCCAGACGGGGACAGGUUCGGGUAAGGGUGAAACGGCGGUGCAAGAGACCACCGCGCACCUGGUGACAGGUGCGGCACGGCAAACCCCACCCGGAGCAAGGCCACAAGGACGCCACGGCGUCUGCGGAAGCGUUCGAGGGCGGCCCGCCCGAGCUUCCGGGUAGGCCGCACGCCCGGUGCGCGAGCACCGGGGGAAGGCCGCCGGCAACGGUGGUCGCAGAUGGAUGAUCACCGCCCGCAAGGGCACAGAAUCCGGCUUACAGGCCGGCUCGUCCC